CACGUAGGGUGCGAGCGUUGUCCGGAAUUAUUGGACGUAAAGAGCUCGUAGGCGGUGUGUCGCGUCGGCCGUGAAAACCUGCAGCUUAACUGUGGGCUUGCGGUCGAUACGGGCAUCACUGGAGUUCGGCAGGGGAGACUGGAAUUCCUGGUGUAGCGGUGAAAUGCGCAGAUAUCAGGAGGAACACCGGUGGCGAAGGCGGGUCUCUGGGCCGAUACUGACGCUGAGGCGCGAAAGCCAGGGGAGCAAACGGG
rnacentral:rRNA from 1 species